rnacentral:rRNA from 1 species
UCAGAACGAACGCUGGCGGCAGGCUUAACACAUGCAAGUCGAGCGCCCCGCAAGGGGAGCGGCAGACGGGUGAGUAACGCGUGGGAAUCUACCUUUUGCUACGGAAUAACGCAGGGAAACUUGUGCUAAUACCGUAUGUGUCCUUCGGGAGAAAGAUUUAUCGGCAAGAGAUGAGCCCGCGUUGGAUUAGCUAGUUGGUGGGGUAAAGGCCUACCAAGGCGACGAUCCAUAGCUGGUCUGAGAGGAUGAUCAGCCACAUUGGGACUGAGACACGGCCCAAACUCCUACGGGAGGCAGCAGUGGGGAAUAUUGGACAAUGGGCGCAAGCCUGAUCCAGCCAUGCCGCGUGAGUGAUGAAGGCCCUAGGGUUGUAAAGCU